GACGAACGCUGGCGGCGUGCUUAACACAUGCAAGUCGAACGGAAAGGCCCUGCUUUUGUGGGGUGCUCGAGUGGCGAACGGGUGAGUAACACGUGAGUAACCUGCCCUUGACUUUGGGAUAACUUCAGGAAACUGGGGCUAAUACCGGAUAGGAGCUCCUGCUGCAUGGUGGGGGUUGGAAAGUUUCGGCGGUUGGGGAUGGACUCGCGGCUUAUCAGCUUGUUGGUGGGGUAGUGGCUUACCAAGGCUUUGACGGGUAGCCGGCCUGAGAGGGUGACCGGCCACAUGGGGACUGAGAUACGGCCCAGACUCCUACGGGAGGCAGCAGUGGGGAAUAUUGCACAAUGGGCGGAAGCCUGAUGCAGCAACGCCGCGUGCGGGAUGACGGCCUUCGGGUGGUAAACCGCUGUCGCCUGUGACGAAGCGUGAGUGACGGUAAUGGGUAAAGAAGCACCGGCUAACUACGUG
rnacentral:rRNA from 1 species